CCGAUGCUCCGGCCGCCGCUGCCUGCUCCGGUACGGUCACUUUGCUGUCCCCGUUCUCCUUCUUCUCCUCCUCCGCCGGCGGUGAAGGCUUCUCCUCCGCGGGCUCACCGGCCGGCACCUCCUCCGUUGUCCCCGCUGUUUCACCUUCCGGCAUGUGGUUGCCUCCUUCUGUCAUGCUCCCUCUCUGCAGUCCUGAGAGGUCUCACUUCCUCUUCCCAGCUGCUAAAAAUAGACAAACUGCAAGGCAGGCACAUGGACACAAAUGCAACGAUAAUGUGCAGAGAGCAGAAGUAAAAGUAGAUGGAACACCCUGCCGUUCACCCUACUAUCCACCCUGACUACUUACAUGUUCAAUUAGCCUGACUGCAUAUUGAAUAAUUGUGCUUCAGCAACAAAAGGGCCACAGGUGAGCUCUUGUGUUUUGGAGCAAUGGAUGC